rnacentral:rRNA from 1 species
GUGGGGAAUUUUGGACAAUGGGCGCAAGCCUGAUCCAGCAAUGCCGCGUGCAGGAAGAAGGCCUUCGGGUUGUAAACUGCUUUUGUACGGAACGAAACGGUCCGGGUUAAUACCCUGGGCUAAUGACGGUACCGUAAGAAUAAGCACCGGCUAACUUCGUGCCAGCAGCCGCGGUAAUACGAAGGGUGCAAGCGUUAAUCGGAAUUACUGGGCGUAAAGCGCCCGUAGGUGGUUCAGCAAGUUGAAGGUGAAAUCCCCGGGCUCAACCUGGGAACUGCAUUGGUGACUGCAAGGCUGGAGUGCGGCAGAGGGGGAUGGAAUUCCGCGUGUAGCAGUGAAAUGCGUAGAUAUGCGGAGGAACACCGAUGGCGAAGGCAAGCCCCUGGGCCUGCACUGACGCUCAUGCACGAAAGCGUGGGGAGCAAACAGGAUUAGAAACCCUAGUAGUCC